AAGAAAACCCUGCCCACACACUAAAACUGGAACAAUACAGGGAAUAUCAGCACGGUACCUGCACAAAGAUGACAUACAAGCUCAGGAAGCCACCCAAUCUGUG